UAGGUUGGGAGGUUAUAGUG
rnacentral:misc_RNA from 1 species